rnacentral:sRNA from 1 species
UGAAGAAAAAGGCAAA